AUAUCUGUACCGCAUUGCCCUCCGAAGGCAGGGGUCGUGGGUUCGAAUCCCGCCGGAUGCGCCA
rnacentral:tRNA from 1 species